AUAGUCAGUGAGGGACAGACAGGC
rnacentral:piRNA from 1 species